UUCGAAUUGGCACAAGGCCCUGCCUCUCCUCUCCCCACCCCAACCUCAUCGCCUGCCUUCAGUCCGCCGCCGUCGGCCGUCGUUCAGCUGAGGUUGCCGUCCCGUCCGCGCCUGGCACCACCAAUCGAGCAUUAAACACAAGAACAGACGGCUCAACUUCCAUCUCGACUCCAGCUGGGCUCUCAGUUGCAACGUGGUAAACCACAUCGACCUCGUCGACAUUUGUGACAGUUCUUGAUACAGUGACUGGGUACCUCAGAUCUGGAACCGAGAUGGAUGGCAGGUUCAAGAGAUGCCCUGGCACCACUGUUGUAUUACAACUUCCGGAUCUUUUGAUGAUGCAAUUAAAUACGUUGUUGUAAUCGUUUGGAUUGAUGUCAUAGAUCAGUCCAGGAUCUGCUGCUCUGUUAGGGUUGAUGUGCCCACCUCCAAAGUCAAAUGGGUCCGCAAUCUUUCGAGGCAACCCAUCAGCCAGUAUUGGCAUGCCAUGUUCAUCAGUUACAGAUGCUUCACCAUGCAAAAUGAAAUAGAGAUUUCAGUGCAGCAGGAGACCAUUGUGGAUGUAGAACUUUCAGCAAGGCGAUGAUGCCAGCUACGUGCGGAGCAGACAUUGAUGUCCCCGACGCAAACUUAUAGGAGUCUCGCAUUGCUGCUAAGAUGCCGACUCCAGGUGCUGCUAUGUCAGGCUGUUGAGGAAGCAAGAGCGAAGUGAGACGGCUUGGUAAUGCCUACUGCCUAGAAAGCAUGGUAGUAACCUCUUUACACUAGGUACCUUAAUAACAUCAGCGUUGUAGAUUGAUGGACCUCUGGAGGAGAAUGCUGCCACUUUGGGAGCCAAUAGCUCUUUACUCGUAAAGCUACGCGCUGGUUCAAUCUUUGCCACAGGAGAGCUGCUUGAGACAAUCAUAACUCAUCAAAAAAAAAACCAGGAGUUCACCAA